AUGUCCUCUUGCAGACAGCUGCUUAGAAACAAAGGUUGGCAAGAAAAAAAAUCAGCUAAAUAUAAUAAAAUAUUUAUUUGAGGGAAUGCUAUGAUUAGGAUGCUUUGUGCAGACUGGGAAGAUUUAGAAUAUGAAUUUCUUCAGAAAAUCAUGGCCGUGAUGAGUGCAAGAAAUCUUUGGUGACCUAGGAACAACUGAGAGAGGAAGACACUUCUUUUCUACAUGGCAAGCUUAUUCUUCUGAAGAAACCCAAAUAGGUGGAAUAACCUCUCCAAAGAUCAGGGCCCUGGAGGAUGUCCACAAUCUCUGUAUAUGCCCAGAACAAAAAAAAACCAAAAAAACCAACAGCUCUUGAAUGGCAGUCAAAAAUGGAUAGCCAGAAGCAGACAAUAUGUCAAUAUGUUGUGUCUUGCUGAAGUGUGAUUCAUUCCUUCUGGAUUAAAGCUUGCAAGGAACUGCAGUGAACUUUUGUGUAAGUUAAACUUUGCUUAUAAUGACAAACUAUUACACGCUCUGCUGGAGUAGAAAAUGGCAUUUUUCUUUGAGUUGUGCUCCUUUUAAAAUUAUUUGAAUAAUGGUACGCUUCCACAUCCGUGUAAAUGUAUCUGAAUAACCUCAUGUUUUGCAAACAAAGUUGACUUGUAUAAACAUGUUUAGUCGUGAUUGAAUUUUACUUUCCCAUUUAAUGAACACUGUUUGGUCAUGGUGUUCAAUCACUAAAUUAAUUAAUAUGUCUGUAACUCUGAUUGUUUACAUGUCAAUCAAAAUCAAAGGGAAAAAUUACAAAGAUUCUGCUAAGGAAACAGAAGAAGUUUAUAUGAAGUGAAACAAAAUUGAAAACUUAAGUGUGUUUAUCUACAGUCAACAGGAGUUAUUUUCCUUUUUUUUCCUGUUUGUAUUUGUAUUUUUAAAGAAAUUGUGUUUAUAUAAUUUAAUAAAUAAUACAGGAAUUCUUUUGUGCUUAUAUUGACUGUUGGGCAAUCUCUUACAUACUGUGUGUAUCUGUAUCAUCCAACUCCAUCUAGCUACUGAUCUGCCAUAGUAGAUGACAUAGUACUUUAUUAGAAGGUGAAGUCAUUCUAAUUCUCAAGGGAUGCGACUUCUCAAAUAUGUAACUGUAUUAACUUAUGUAUGAUUUGGGUCAGGAGAGGGAAGAAUCCAAGAAACAUUUCCUCAUAAAUUACUUAAUGAGUGUUUUCAAGAGAUGGUUCUGGAGAUUCUUCUUUUAAUUUUCUUCUGUUUUAACUUAUUUCAGAUAAUUAAAA